rnacentral:lncRNA from 1 species
AAUUAUAGCUUUGUUCCCCCAGUAUCAGUACUACAUUUCAGGUGCUCAUUACCUAUGCACAACUGUGGCUACCAUGUUGGACUGGGCAGAUGGGAGACCUUUCCAGCAUCACACACCAUUCUCCUGCCUGACUUUGUAAAGAGGAAGCAGAGAAAUUAAAUCGAAUUCAAUCAAGAAGUAUGGAAGGAGACUCCAGGUUUAAUUAAGUAACAACAUCUUGAUGUGUGAUUCUUUUUUUUUUUUUUUUUCCACUAAAGGUGUUUUUCAGCCAUGUUGCCUUUUUUCAACUGUAGAUGCAAAAGGAGAGAACCCCCAUUAGUUCUCACCGCAAUAUAAGAAAUUCAGGUAUUGGGUCUAGUUUUCUUUCAGUAACACAAAGAUUUAUUUUUCCUGCAGGAACUGUUAUUUUCUGCAUGAUCCUGCAAAUUUUUUCCCCUAUCAAACCACUACAGUUUUAUCUCUGUUUGUUAUCUCUCAUCUCAUGCAGCUGACAAAAAUAUUUGUGAAAAAUAACAAUAGGCACAGGGAAACAAACCUUAGUGUUCCUCACAGGUUUUUUGUUUUGGUUUUCGUUUGUUUUGUUUGUUUUGUUUUGUUUUUGUUUUUGUUUUUUUUGGUUUUCUGUUUUUUGUUUUAAAGAAUCCUUGGUUUUGGUCAUUACUUCUGCGUUGCUGCAGAGUAAAAAAUAUAUCUUACUUAGAAGCUAGAACGUGCUUCAGACCACACAAAUGCAGGCUGUAGCUGUGAACACCCAAUGGAGAAGAGCUGGUUUAGUUUCCCCACCACAUACAUCUUUCCUAGCUUCCUAGCCUCCCAUCUAGCCUGGAGAGUCUAUUAUCUCCUAUAACCUCUGCUGCAAAACUGUGGUCUGAAGACGAUUUUGUCUUCCCCUCUCCCUUCUCUGCCUCUGGGUGUGCCUCCCUCCCCUUGAGUAACCUCUGAUCUGUAUCCUGCACCACCUCCACCAACCCUGUGAAUGGGCUGGAGAAAGAAUCUCAGUCUUUACCACCUCAUCUGCUUAAUUAUGGCCUGAGAUUGUCACAAAGCAGAAUGGAAGGAAAGUUUCAUAUGUCAUGCUUCCUUCAUCCAGGGUGCAGCUUUUCAAGUAUUUAUUAUUAUCUUUUUAUACAAUGAUUUUUAUUUUUUUCCAUUAUAGCUGGUUUACAGUGUUCUGUCAGUUUUCUACUGUACAGCAUGGUUUUAGCACUGGCAACUAUAUCUAGUCACUUGUGAUGGAGAAAGUGUUUUUUUUUUCUUUUGUGUUGACCUUAUUUCGGAUUUACAGAAAAGCUGCAGGAGUGGCAUAAAGAAUUCCUGAUACGCAUCCCCCACUAUCCCCAAAUGUUUGCAUUUUACCACAUUUAGUAAUUUAUCGUAUUCUCUCUCCCCACCUCUCUCUUUCUCACACAGACACACAAAUGUGUGCACAUACACACUAUUUUUCUAAACCAUUGUUUUCCCUCACCUGAUGCUCCAUUACCUUUAAAUAUUUGUGUGUUUUUAUUCAAAACAAAGAAAUCAGAGUGAUAUUUUUUACAUUAAAAAUGGAGAGGUUUUUGCCCUUGCUUUUCCUUUUCCUUUCUCUGAUUGGGAGUUUUUAAAAGCAAAAUGACUAAAAGAGUAGAAACUGGUUUGAUGCUCCACAAAUUGGUUCAUCAGCUCAUGGAUGCUGGAAAAUUGGCUAUGUUUUUUGUGAUUCCAUGUUUCCAGGUCAGAUGAGCCUACAAAUUAAGAAUGGGGGCAGGGGGCGAAGAGGGGAGGAGAAUGGCACACUGCAACUUGCAUCCUCUGUCUUUUUAAAACCUAAAUUAAUUUCUUAGGGACUAUUUAGCCAGCAGCAUAAUAUGAGUGAAGUUUUUUUAUAAAUAGUGGGCACAAGAUGUGAUAUGGCUAUUAGCAAGAUAUCUAUUAGAAUGCCUGGCCAAACUGUUAUGAAGUUAACAGUCACAUAUGACAAGUAGUUAUAAUCAGUUCAGAUGCUUGAUUUUUCCUUUUCAUUUACUGUUGAUUCUUAUGGAUUUGGGGUACAGAGGGAAUCAUCUAUGCCCUAAGUGCACUGUAUUGUAUUAUUAAUACCAGGAGAGCAGCUGAGUCCCACUAGACAGUCUUUGUGGUCUGCAGAUACUCUAAGAAGUGUCUGAGCAUAAAAGGAGGCUGUUUGAGUUGAAGUGGGCUGAUGGUCUGGGAUGACAUUUGAAUGCAUGGAGGACAAUGUCUAAAUGACAAUGUCGAGAAGGGAAGGCAAAAAGGAGCUUGAAACUAUGGCCAUUGUCCCACACACGCUCAUCAUUCCUGACCUAUCCCUCACGUGCCAGCUUUGUCUGGGUAGAAAUGGGGAGUGGGAUGGAGGAGGGAUAGAUACUGGGGUCCUGGGACAAAAGCCAGGGAUUCAGGUCCUUAGACACAUUAAAAUUCUAGACAGAUAGCAAAUGUAAAGAAAGCUGCAGUCCAAUUGUAUUUCAAGUCUAACAAAGUUAAACAUUUUAGCUCAGUUGUUACGAGGAUAUUUAACACAAUGUUUGCAAUACUCUGAGAAGUUUCAAUGAAUAAAGCUUUUAAGAACAUCACAUUGGUUGUGCAAAAAUGAAUAAUUGAGAGGGUCUCUUUUGGAAUUUAGGAUAGCUGUUUCCUCUACCAACUUUCUCUACUCACACAGCCAAAUAGAAUAAUUUUUCAGCAGUCCUAGAGUUGUUAGGAUAACAUCAUAGAUUAAUCAAAGGAUAACUUUUUCAGCUAAUGAAAUAGUGUACAAGGUCUAGGACAAAAACACCACAGAAGACUGAGACAUUGAUGGGAACUAUCUCACAAUAAAUAUUACCAGGUCUGCCAAGCAUGGAAUCAAAUACUGUGCUGUUAACUUCCAUCCUUGGCUGAAUUUUCUCCCUUUAAAUUAUCACCAUUCUUUUAAUGUAGUUUGCAUUAUAUAUAGUGCCCUUGGAUUUUUAAUUGCUCUGGAUUAUCAUUUUCAAUGCAAUUAGUAAAAUGCCCUCAAUUACACAUAAUAAUUACUGUAAAUGGGGCUAUUGGCCUAAUUACUAUAAAUGGGGAAAGAUGUAUGAUUAUCAUAUGCAAUUAAAUCAUGUACAGUAUUUAUUUUACAUGAUUACAUAAGUGGUAUAGUGAUAACACGUAAUUAUAUUGUAUCAUUACUUGGUCAACAAAUCUUCAUAUUAAGAUAUCUAGAACUGUGAUCCAUUGCCAAAGAUUCCUGCAGUGGUCCUUUUUUCCUGAAGUCAUUGGGUUAUUUUUGUGGGCUGGGAAUCCCCUAGAUAAACUGUGCAUACACAAGAAAAAUCUGGAAGGAAGAAAAUUAUUUUGCCUCCAUUAAAAUUCAGAAUAUGCCCAGGUUGUGCUAUGUUGUCAGUGUUAAAUCCUCUCUGAGUCCAGUGCCAACCUUUACCAAACCCAUUUGUUUUAUGUAAACAUGUAAAAAUCAACACCCCCUAAAUGGUGGCAGUGUUGAAAAUAUGCCUGGGGGGGAGGGAGGAAAAAAAAAGACAUCCUUUCUUCACUGUGGCAAACAUGAUAAUCAUCCCUAGUUUACAAAUGCACACUUUAACAAGCUUAUAGCGCAUAAUUAAUUCUGCAAAGGAUGCUGUUUGACAGAGUGGGAUUAUGAGAAUUGCAUAUUGAUAGUGGCAGGAGAAAUAAAUCUAUUUUCUUUACAGAAGGUAGGGUGUUCUUGUGUUCUUUAGAAACUGGCACAUCUCAGAGGUGUUGCUCUCAAAAUGAUCUCAGGAUGGAAAGAAAUCAGUAAUUACAGAGCCAGGCAUUCGGUUGUGUCCUAAUUUUCCCACCAGUUUUUCAGUGUUUCAGCCGCCUCAGAGACUUAAAGUAUUCUCAUUAGGUAGCUGCCGAGGCAGCCGCUUGCCUACUCCCUCAUUCUCUCACUCGCAUUUCCUUUUUUUUUUUUUUUUCCCCAUUCCUGCCUUGGGAGUGACUGUGAAGAUCAUUUGCCAGAAUGAUUGGCAGGUUAGAGGAUUCGAUCAGAUGAGUUCCUCUUAGUGCAGGUCAAAAAGGCUAGUUAGCAGGAGCUGUCGGAAAAUGCCAGCAGCAUUCGAAAUGGGAAAUGUCAUGACUUGGAGGCAGGGGGGUGCCACCUGGAACAGAAAGCCCCCAGCUCAUUAGCAAGUUACAGGAUGCGGGCUUAACUGGAAGGAGCAGAGAAGGAAAGAUAAUACCCAAUAGGGAAAAUGAUUGUGAAGUGGCAUUGAUUUCAUGUAUAAUUUGUUUAUCACUAGAGGGGACAAAUGCGGUCCUUCUGACAUGAGCAGAGGAGUGUGGACUAUGAAUGAAGCAACUUAGCAUAAUCUCCAGGUUGAGCUUUGGAUUUAAAGAAUGCAAACUUCUUUAUUCUUAACUGUGGAAAUGAUCAGGUCAUGUUACAUUAAUUAAAGCUGACAUACUCUCAAAUGUUUUAUCUGGGCAAUUGUGGCAAUUCGACAGAAAUGGAUAGAGAUGGGUAACUUUAGAAAAUAAGAGGGAUUUUUUUUUUUUCCUUUUCCCUCUGCUGAUGUGGAAGACUAGCUCAGUUGCAUACUGAAUUAUAACAGGCUUGGUGUUUAUCUUCAGUGGUUAGCUAGGCUGCACAAAUCACACUGGGUUCUCGAUUCUCAUGCAAUCUCAUUUAUAGAGGAGAGCGUUUGCCCUUUGGGAGAUUUGGAUCUAAUCCAUGUUAAAAUAUAUAUGUAUGUUUUAGAAUAUGACUAUAUCAUAUUUUGGUACAAUGGUAAAUUUUUAAUCCUUUUUUUUAAAGGGGCAGCCCUCCACUUUCAUGACUGCCUAGUUGUCAGUUCAUCUAGAAUUUGAUGUUUUACCGUCAAGCCAACAACCUAACAGUAGCCAUAGUUACAAUCAAAACUAAACUAAAAAGGUGUCCUUAAAGGAAAAAUUAACCUGCAGUUUGUAAAAAGAGAAUGCACUGCCAAAGCCAAAAAUAAUACUCCCUGGCAUGUACUCAAACUAAAUUCCAAAUUUAAAGGUUCCAGUAUUUUUACAGUGUAUUAAUGAGCUUUAGCAUAAAGCUUUUUCCUACAUAAAUUCCAUCAGAAAAUGUAUUUUCUUUUGAUAAGAGACUUUUAUGAUAUCAUUUAUCUCUUACAGAGAGAUCGUUAUCUUGUUAUUUUUAAGUCACAAAUGCCACAGCUGCAAGUCUUUCUGGCUGAACACUAAAGAAUGUUUACUUAGCGUCCAGAUUUUGGUUAAAACAUAUUUUCAAAAUGUUUUUGUCUUGAGUGUUCUUUUCUCUUAAAUAUUGAGACAUUUUAUGAGGCGGUUAUGAAAUGUCCAGUGCUUCUUUUAUCAAGCAGCCUCAGACUGCUGUCUUAUGUGAAUUGGAAUCCUAAAACCUCCUGGUCGAAAUACUGGUGGAAAAUUCAUUCUGUUCUGUAUUCAGCAUAAAAAGCUUAGCAUUAAGCUACUGAGUAUAGCUGUCAAGAUAUACUGCAUUACUUUUGUCAAAUCUAAAAAUUUAAAUAUCAGUGGGAAUCCAUUCACCCCCUCAUUUGGGAGUUUUGUUGUGUGGUUCAGGAGCUCACCUUAAAAAAAAAAAGAAAAA